rnacentral:tRNA from 1 species
GAGGCUAUAGCUCAUGCGGUAGAGCACAUGCUUAGCAUGAACAAGGUCCUGGGUUCAAUCCCCAGUACCUCCU